AUCCUCAAUCUGACGGUGUUGGCUAAUCACAAUCCUGACGUCUGGAGGAUCUAUCACUCCUGCUUAAUUAACUCAGGACAGGAGGACCCUGCAUCAAGUAAGACAGGAGAUAGACUUCACCAGAGGCAAUGUGCUCAAGGGCCUUGAGGGAAUAUCAGGAUUUCCCAUGGCAGAAUGCCAUAGACUUGAUUCGGGCCCGGACUGGUAAUGGUGAGGUCGGAAACGCUCCGGACGGGAAUAAUGCAGGGCACUGGGUAGGAUGGUGCUUUGUCUCCGUACACAACAGAAAGGGACAACCGAAACACGGCUUAGCCUAACCUGUUUUAUCUGGGGAUUCCGCUGCUUAUUGAAGCUGGCGGGGUGAGGUCCUUGCCUACCUACCAGGGAUUUGACUACAUGACAAUCUCAGAGAGAGACACUUGGGACCAAUGGAUCCAAGUUUAUCUGGCUGCUCGUUAGCAAAAACUCAACUUGAAGUUCAGUUUUCCUUCAAAUUGAAACGGUCCUAUGCCAAUAUGUUUUCACUGCGAUGACAGACAAGGGAUAUGGCUUGAUAACAUACCUCAAUUCAGGGAAUGAAGGUUUUUCUGUACUCCUAAUUAUUCCAUUAUUUAUUUAUUUUUAAUUUCACCUUUAUUUAACCAGGUAAGCUAGUUGAGAACAAGUUCUCAUUUACAACAAGCAACGAAAUCGAGAAGAUUGAAAUGCUGCUAGUUUGAAUUAAACUGCAUUUUUCAUCAGCAUGCUAUGCUAGUGAAUGCUAAAGCAGCCUAUUGGAUUCCACAACACUUCCGGCAGCUACUCCCCAACGCUAUAUAUCGCAUUUUCAUUGAAUCCAAUUGGCUGCUUUAGCAUUAGCUAGCCUAACAUGUUGAUGACAAAGGCAGUUUAAUUCACAACUAGCAGACCGUUUCGACUUGAAGGAAGAGAGUGUUUAGCUGCUAGUAACCUUGCACAGGGAGACUACCCAGCAGGCAAUGCAACCCAGGCCAGGCUGGCGCUAACAUGAACACAGUAAUUCCAUAAAAAUAAAAUAAUUCUCAUGGCCAAAUUGUAUAUUCAUAAAUGCAAACGCUUUGGGAUAUAUAUAUAUUUUUAGCUUCUACAAUUGUAUAAAUUCCAGAAAUGUGUGAAACAUAAAAAAUAAAUAAAUAUAUAUAUACACACACUGAACAAACAUAUAAAUGCAACAUGUAAAGUAUACCGUGUCACGUUUCAUGAGCUGAAAUAAAAGAUCCCAGAAAUGUU